AAAUGAAAUGAAGAAGUCUCCGAAGUCACUCAGCAGGAGAGUGACGCAGCCAUGGUUCCUGCCCAGCUCUGGCUGCCCCAUUGGUGCGCCUGCCCCCGAAACUCCACCUGGAGGGAUUUUUGAGUCUUACUUUCUGAGAACUGGAGCCUUCCAUUUGUGACUUUUACAAACUACUUUUGCAAAGUGUGCAUUCCUUAUUGUGUGUGGUCACUGACGUUUCUGUUCCACCGUCUCUGCAGUCAGCCAGUGACCUGACAAAGAUUCUUAAAUAUCUGGCUCAUGAAAGGCAGAAGGUACUGCUCUUUAAAUCCCCUGGACGACAUGUAAGCCAUGGGGUUGAAACAAUGGCUGCCAACCUCUGUGCUGGCCCUUCAGUAAUCAAAAGCAGUGAUCGGGCAGUCAGCACUCAGAACAUGCGACCCACUAUUCAGAGGACAAGGUCCUUAGUGCCCAUUCUGGCUCCAGCAAGUCACACCAGGGACGUGGAUCACCAUUCCUAAGGCUGCCUGUCACAGGGAUGGAGGUUGGGGGAUUGCAGCUAUACCAGGAGAAAUUUGCUUCAAUUCACCAAAAUUUGCCAGCCUCCUCCUCAAGCUCUCUGCUGCGUGCUACAAGUGUUGGACUGGACUCCAGAGCUCGACAAUAGUGACUUCAGAUGGUUCCUGCCAGUUCCCUGGUUGUUCAGGUGGAGGGAAAGACUCCUGGAGCUUCCUCCUCCACCACCUUCCAUGAUGGCCCUCUCAUCACUUUUUGUGGCUGAUGAUGUUCCACUGUACAGAUAUACCACUUCUUGUUUAUCGAUGCAUCAGAUGGUGUACAUUUGGUUUGUUUGCUCUUUUUGCUUAUUAUGAAUAAUGCUGCUAUGGACAUUCAUGUACAAGUGUUGGUACAAAAGGCUUAACUUGUUUUUAUCUUAUUACUCAAAUGUGUACCCACAAAAAGCCCUAUGUGAAUGUCCCUUAUACAACCCUAAGAAGCAAAAUAAGUUUACAAAUUAAAUUUCACUCAAGAAGUAUUUAUUAUUUAUUGUGUACUCUAUGUCCUGAGGGCUCAGCCUUGUACAAGAAUGGACAAGGUUCCUGCCCUCUCCUGGCUUGCACUGGGGAGUUGGGACAAACGGUAAACAAGUAAACAAAUGGGCACCUUUAGGAAAUGAUAUGCUAACAAGAAAACAACGUGGGAAAUGGGAUAGAGAUCCACUGGACACAUGUGUGUCAAUACAACAAUCCUCAGAGGGCUGAGGAUAAGCCAGAAAAUUGAACCACAGGAGUAAUAGUUUGUUAAAAAAAAAUAAAUCUACA
ensembl:lncRNA